UACGUAGGGGGCAAGCGUUGUCCGGAUUUACUGGGCGUAAAGCGCGUGUAGGCGGCAACACAGGUCCGUUGUGAAAACUGGAGGCUUAACCUUCAGACGUCGACGGAAACCGUGUGGCUAGAGUCCGGAAGAGGAGAGUGGAAUUCCUGGUGUAGCGGUGAAAUGCGCAGAUAUCAGGAAGAACACCAAUGGCGAAGGCAGCUCUCUGGGACGGUACUGACGCUGAGACGCGAAAGCGUGGGGAGCGAACAGG
rnacentral:rRNA from 1 species